rnacentral:tRNA from 1 species
GGCAAAAUGGAGUAAUUGGCAACUCACAAGCCUCAUAAGCUUCUGACGGAGGUUCGAAUCCUUCUUUUGCCA